ACCUAUAACCAUAAUCCUAUUUCUCUCUCUCUCAUUCAUUAUACGAUUAAAAAAAAAACCCCUAAUCUCACCCAUCACCUCUCCUCUCCUUUUUCCAACGAUUUCAAGAAGACAAAAUAGACUUUCCAACUCGUUUUUGAAGGAUUAAAGGAAUAGCUCACAAGGUUAGUUCUCUAUUCAAAGUUGAAAAUGACUAUUUAAUGUUGUGGGUGGGGUUUAAUGUGGUGCGUGAAAAAUUUGUCUAUGUGGGUUUCAUAGCCAUGUGGGUUUCACGUUUUUUGUCUGUGUAAAGGUGUAAAAGUAUUGUUUAACGUGAAAAGUUUCAUUCUUUUUAUGAUUUUGUUCGUCUCUUUUGUGGUCUUAAUUCUAAUUUUAGGGUAUUUUAUUCACAUUUUUGUCUCUAUAAAUGGUGUAAAGGUAGUGUUUAAUAUGUAAAGUUUCUUUCUUUUUAUGAUUUUGUUCCUCUCUUUUAUUAUCCUGAAAUGUAUUGUCAAUUUAGAGUAUUUUAUUUAUUGUUUUUGUAUUUCCUAUGAAUGUUGCUGAUGUGGUCCCUCGUUUUUUCCUUUGUCCUUUUCUUUGCAUGUGAACUUUAUUGAAGAAUGAUAGAUAAAAAAAAGUGUUAUCAAACUAUGGGGUUGAAUGGGUCUUUUCUCCUUAAUUAUUAUAUAAUAAGAAUCUGAUACAUGUUUUGCAUGGGUUUGACCCAGAUCUGUUGUCUUAUGAAGACUUAUGUGAAGAGUUCAAAAAAGAGAUGAUUUUUUUUCAAGUUAAACAACUCUUAGUUGCCGGAUAGGUACUACAUAAUUGAUGGAGAUGAUGUUAUAGGGAUUUGCAGUACCUUAAUUAUUAUGAGUUUAGUAAGAUUAACUUGUUUGUUGUACAUGUUACUGAUUUAACAGUCCAUACUAAUUUUGAUGUUGCUUUUCCAUCUGAUGUUGAGUAUGAUGAAAAAGAACUUGAGGUUUUUAGUAACCAAAGGAGGAGGGUAGUAAGUGAUAGGUUGAAGAAUUAUAAGAAACUGGAAAAGGGUAUGACAUUUUCUGAUAUUGUGGAAGCUAAAAUAAUAAUGAAUUACUAUGCAAUGGUUAAUGGGUAUGGCUUGAAGAUUGAAAAAACAGAUACCACUAGGGCUAGGUAUGUUUGUAAAGCUGGAUGUCCUUUUAGAUGUUCUAUUUCAUAGGAUUAAAAAAGUUCAACUUUCAGUAUCAAAACCUUGAAGCCAAAGCAUGAUUGUGAUCCAUGUUAUAAAAAUCCAAGGGCUGAUUCUAAGACAUUAGCAUAAUACUUUAUGAGAAAAGUACAGACAAUCCCACAUACACUAUUAAGGAUAUGAGAGGGGAGAUGGAAAAUGAUUUCAAUUUGAAUAUAAGCUUAAAAGGACUAAGUUUAUUAUCCUUGAGAAGUUAGAUGGCAGUUUCAAGGAUGAUUUUAACAAGCUUGAAGAUAUGGGGUUGAAUUAAACUAGUCUAAUCCAGGGACUGAUGUUGCAAUCCAGAUUUCAAAAGAUGCUUUUGAGCAAGGUUAAAAGAGGUUCUUGAGGAUGUACUUGUGUUUUAGUACUUUGAAGCUAGGUUGGAAAAGUGACCUGAGACCAUUUAUUGGUUUGGAUAGUGCUUUCUUGAAGGGUAAAGUCAAAGGUCAGUUGUUGGUUGCGAUGGGAUAGGAUUCUAUGAACCAAUUCUACCCAAUUGAUUGGACAGUGGUUGACUAGGAAACCACCAGAACAUGGUCAUGGUUUGUGGAACUUUUGAAGAGGCUUUUGGACUUAAAAGAUGGGACUGGAGUGACCUUUAUUUCUGACAUGCAAAAGCUAGUUAGAGGAGUACAAUUCUGGAGAGUUGAACCUGCGCAUGCAAUGGAGUCACCUGAAAUAGUCAAAGCAGUUGGAAGACCCAAAAUGAAGAGAAAUAGAACACAGAUGAAGCAAAAAAGAGGAAGGAUGAAUGAAGUGCAUUAAGGAAGAGAUCUAUUAUGACAUGAAGUAAAUGUGGAGAAAAAAAUCACAAUGCAAGGGGUUGUCACAAGGUACAGAUACACAGGACGACGGAUCUACUCCAUAGGACCACCCUCGCAUCAGCUUUUGUUACAGAUACACAGGAUAACGGAUCUACUCCAUAGGACCACCCACGCAUCAACUUUUGAGAGAAAAGGCUGGACAGAUUCCAAAGAAGGGGAAGGGGAAGGGCAAGGAAAAAGUUAGCCAGACCUUAAAUGGACCUCAACAAUCUGGCAACACCUUAAGAAGCAACUGUUAUGAACCUGAAUUUUGUACAAACAAAUCUCAACAGUCAGGCUUUGAAACUCAAAUUGGUACUCAACAAUCAAUAGCUUAUGGACCAGAUAUUGGUGAUGACGAAGACCUAACAUUGAGGCCAAAAGUCAUAUCUAAAGCUGAUACAUUGUUGUCCAUGAGAAAGACAAGAAUGAGGCCACCAACUAGUGGUAGAAGAAUUCAAUUCAUUGGAGAUGCAAGUGGAGUGUCAGCUCCAACGAACUUGCCUUAUUCACCAACAAAGAUGACUUGGAGGGAAAAUGAAACUGUUACAUCCAUCCAGUUACAAGAUGAAGUCAAAAACAAUGUAUCAAGAUGAAGGCAAGAAAGAGGCAAGGAGAAUCAGCCCCUGAUGAUUGUGACAUUUGAAUAUUGUUUAUUUUGUGAUGCCUAGACAUUUCAAACAUCCUAGAAUUUAGAGGUUAAAGUUGUUAACAGUUGAUUUAUGUUAUUAAAAUUAGUUCAACCUUUAAAGUUAGCAUUCAUAUGUUAAGUAUGUUCUUAGUAAAGUUAAGUAUUUUGUGAAUGAUAGCGAAUUAUGUUAAGUAUGUUGUUAAUGAAGCCUUGUGUUAUGGAAUUGAUGCUUCAAUC